rnacentral:rRNA from 1 species
UACGUAGGGUGCGAGCGUUAAUCGGAAUCACUGGGCGUAAAGCGCACGUAGGCGGAUUGUUAAGUCAGGGGUGAAAUCCUGGAGCUCAACUCCAGAACUGCCUUUGAUACUGGCAAUCUCGAGUUCGGGAGAGGUGAGUGGAACUGCGAGUGUAGAGGUGAAAUUCGUAGAUAUUCGCAAGAACACCAGUGGCGAAGGCGGCUCACUGGCCCGAUACUGACGCUGAGGUGCGAAAGCGUGGGGAGCAAACAGG